AUACGGAGACUGCAAGCGUUGUUCGGAUUCAUUGGGCGUAACGGGUCUGUAGGCGGUCGGCCAAGUCGGAUGUGAAAUCCCCGAGCCCAACUCGGGUUGGGCAUUCGAAACUGGUCGACUAGAGGACUGGAGAGGAGACUGGAAUUGUCGGUGUAGCGGUGAAAUGCGUAGAGAUCGACAAGAACACCUGUGGCGAAAGCGGGUCUCUGGACAGUGCCUGACGCUGAGGGACGAAAGCUAGGGGAGCAAACGGGAUUAGAAACCCUAGUAGUCC
rnacentral:rRNA from 1 species